UACGGAGGGGACUAGCGUUGUUCGGAAUUACUGGGCGUAAAGCGCACGUAGGCGGAUCUGUAAGUCAGGGGUGAAAUCCCGGGGCUCAACCUCGGAACUGCCUUUGAUACUGCAAAUCUCGAGUCCGGAAGAGGUGAGUGGAAUUCCUAGUGUAGAGGUGAAAUUCGUAGAUAUUAGGAAGAACACCAGUGGCGAAGGCGGCUCACUGGCCCGAUACUGACGCUGAGGCACGAAAGCGUGGGGAGCAAACAGG
rnacentral:rRNA from 1 species